GAUGAUAGAUAACACAUUUAACUGUUUUGAGAUAAAAUUAUUGUUCCAUUUGUUGUGAAAAGUUGAAAGUUAGAAUGGUUAACGAAUAGUUUAAUGCGGGGCGUUUUUUCGUCCUUUUUUUCCUAACAAUAUUAUUGUGUGUUGUGCGGAUGGCUUAUUGAUCGUUAUUUUUUUUUAACAACCUGAAGUCAGCCAAUCGAGCCGCUUGCAACACAAAAGAGACCAUGGGCAAUAUAAUUCCAACAAAUGAAGAUCGUAGAAAAAAAUACGAAUGUGAAAUUACUGUUGACAACCAUCCUCCAUUUGUUUUAAUGGCUGCAAAUUUACAACAGCUAAGGAGGUUGUUGACUAAAUACAGUAGUUUCAAAGACGAUGAAAACCCGCCAUGGAUUUUCGACUCGCAAAGAAGACUAGUCUACGACAAUGCAACAUUCAUAAGUUUAGAGAACAGGAAAUUUUUUGCGAUGUCUUCUAAGUCACCUGCUGACUGGAUAUUACUCGAUCACGAAAUUAUUGAACUCAACUAUCAACAACUCGAAACACCGACAACUGAGAAUUCCGAUGAGACUUCUUUGAUAAAGCUUGCAUCGAAAACACUCCGCAUGCAACGCGACAGUAAAUUUAAACAACACAAUGAAUAACGAUUAAAUCAACAAUUAGACGACGCCGAUAAAGUCGAAAUAAAAAUGAGUCACUUGCAUCAACUUAGUAUUUUGACUCGAAACGUUCAAUGAACCUAACCAAUAAUAAUAUCAAUGGCCAGCGGCCACAGUCAAACAAUUCACUGAAAAUAGUGAGAAAAAUUUAGCGAAGAAGGAAAAACAAAUGUGUGAUAACUUGGGUUAUAUGCGACUGAAACGGAUAAAAAAGGUGAAAAUGUAAGAGGAACUUUACGAUGGUCCGCCUGCCAAUCGUUGUCUGUCCUUUUCGUUUGGACAAAACCAUCAUAAAUUCACUCCUUCACACCGUCAAACAGAGGCAAUCAUUCAAACGGCAACGCUACUCCUCCGCUUGACAGUGGAAAAAUGAAUUGGACCGCUGAACGAUUGUUCACUAUCUACAUCUCCACAUCGAUUCUACUACAAGCAUUGACCGAUCAGGAAGACAGUAACAUGAUGCGCACGGAAAAAGAUGAGGAUCGUUGGAUUUAAAAUUUUCACAAGCGUCAAAAACGAACUCGAUUAUUGAAACGAACGUGGAAGUCACAGAGCAGUUGCAUGGCUUGUGGCCGGCUUAUAGUCAUAGAAAUUGUAAAUCGAUCAUUAAAUCGCCAGCAUCGGCUAGAGUAACUGGCAUCAAGGUGGUGAAUCAAUGGUCAUAGAUUCCGAAACUGAAACCGUUGAUUGUUCAAAGAUACACUGAUCGGCCGCUGCUAAUCGCUGAACGUAAAUUCGACCUGAAGCUUUAUGUAUUAGUAACACCUAUCAAACCGCUACGAGUCCUCGUACGAGUCUACAUGCACACCGACGGACUAGCUAGAUUCAUAUUGGGACUCCGAGAGUAAUGUGUCCGAUUUGAAAGUUCAAAUAUCCGACGAUGAAAUCGAUCAGCAAAAAUUGAAUGGCAUCA